GAUGAACGCUGGCGGCGUGCCUAAUACAUGCAAGUCGAGCGAACGGACGAGAAGCUUGCUUCUCUGAUGUUAGCGGCGGACGGGUGAGUAACACGUGGAUAACCCACCUAUAAGACUGGGAUAACUUCGGGAAACCGGAGCUAAUACCGUAUAAUAUUUUGAACCGCAUGGUUCAAAAGUGAAAGACGGUCUUGCUGUCACUUAUAGAUGGAUCCGCGCUGCAUUAGCUAGUUGGUAAGGUAACGGCUUACCAAGGCAACGAUGCAUAGCCGACCUGAGAGGGUGAUCGGCCACACUGGAACUGAGACACGGUCCAGACUCCUACGGGAGGCAGCAGUAGGGAAUCUUCCGCAAUGGGCGAAAGCCUGACGGAGCAACGCCGCGUGAGUGAUGAAGGUCUUCGGAUCGUAAAACUCUGUUAUUAGGGAAGAACAUAUGUGUAAGUAACUGUGCACAUCUUGACGGUACCUAAUCAGAAAGCCACGGCUAACUACGUG
rnacentral:rRNA from 1 species